rnacentral:tmRNA from 1 species
GGGGCCGAUUUUGGAUUUGACAGCAAGAUGACCAAAUCGGGGAAGCAUGUCGAGCCUUUGGAGAUGUGGCUCGUGAAUCUCAAAUCUCCAGUCAGAAAUGACAACACUUCCUACGCGCUCGCAGCCUAAUCGACUCAGUCGAUCGGCCUAAUUCCAGUCAUUAGAUGGCGGAACGAGCUAUCCAGUGGCGACGUACGGACCCUUUCGUCGUCACAACGGGUAUCAGGUAAAUGGGACUAGCUAACGGUGGGUCCGACACCCGGCGCGAAUUUUACUGGACUACGCUGUUUGGUGGACUGCUCGUGGUCAGCCUUCAGCCGACAAUCAAUCACGAGAUAAACAUGUAGAAACUUCGCUUUGGCCUUGUUUGGACGGGGGUUCGACUCCCCCCGGCUCCACAA